GCUCUCACCGGGGUCGAGCCGCGGCGAGGGAACGGAUCGGAGACGCUGCGCCUGCUCAGAAGGUAGCGCAGCGGGGAAAGGCGGGAGAGCGUUAACUUCUGAGCCUGCGCGGUGGGAGUUGCUCAAGCAGGUGGUAGCGACUUGGCUUCCGGGCAGCGGGUAAAGGAGCGGAUAUAUAUUCCAGCAGCAUGAGUAUUUUAGCCCUCUUUGCAAUUGCAGUCUUCAUUCAUUAUCAUCAAUAAACUGGCCUCUGGUUGAUUGAUCUAGUCUAGUUCUUAUUUUAUCACAGCACAUGGGAUAUAUGAUAUCAUCAAAGCCAUGAUGUGAACAAACCAUGAGGUAUAAUGGAGUUUGUAUGAGUAAUUGUGCCUUUUAAUUAUAGUUUUAGUUUGCUUUCUUGACUUCCAUUCAUUCAGAUUGCACAUUAGGGGACAGAGAAGAGGGUGCUUCAAUAUAAACCUUUGGCUAUUUUACAAACACACUUUGCUAAAUGUUCUUAGUCUCUAUCCUGCAAAAGUCACCUUCUUGGAUCAGAAAUAUAUAAAAGCCUUAGUGCUGGUGGAAAACAGGCUUCUUCGUUGGAGGUCAGUCUCAACUAACUUCACACUCUGAUUCCUAAAAAAAAAUGGGAAGGUGGGUGUGUACACAUCCUUUAUGUUACAAAUUUCUUACUGGAAAGGUGACCUAAAUAUUAGACUUUCCCGAAAGAGUAUUGAGUCUCAUAAAAAUCUCUAAUGGAACAGCACUUAAGAAUUUCAACCGUGUGACCACUAAGAAUGGUGUAGAUCCAUUACCUCUCACAUAGGCACUCUCCACGAUAGACUAAGUGAUAAAACCAAGCUGCAGAAGAUUGUAUUACCUGGAGAGAUACCAAAUUGUUCAGUGGUGACCUCUGGGAAACAUGGUGGGGGAGGUUUUGAAGGCAACACUCACCUUAAUUUGGGGAUAUUGUUAAAAAAUUUUUUUUACUUACAUAGUCUUUUUAAAAUAAAGAACUUAGCCACAAAAUCAAAACAGCUGAUUGAUAUGAAGCACCAGUAUCUCCAUUAUUGAAAGGUUGCUUCAAGAAUGCUGAAUAGUUUGUUACAUUUUACAAAAAAAUGAAAGAGCACAGGAUGUUGUCUACCUGUUUUAAUUAUGGAAGGAUAAUUGUCAAUUUUUAAAUAGCAAGAUAGUUAUAAAGAAUGUUUUCCAAAGCAAUACCAAAGAGAUACUUUUCCCUUUUAGAAUAGAAAUUAUGGUACCAUGCAGCUUAUUUCCCCAUAUUGAUCAGGUGAGCAUUUGUCUUAAGGAGUAAGAGAGUUUGUCAGACCUGGUGUCCAUGGCUUGCCAGAGAGGCAGAUUGAACUAUCUCUUGGCAUUUCCAUAAAUAUACAAAAAUUAGCCGGGCAUGGUGGCGCACGCCUGAGCCCCAGCUACUCGGGAGGCUGAGGCAGGAGAAUCGCUUGAACCAGGGAGGCAGAGGUUGUGGUGAGCCGAGAUUGCGCCACUGCACUCCAGCCUGGGCAACAGAGUGAGACUCUGUCUCAAAAAAAAAAAAAAAAAAAAAAAAGAAUUAUUGGGGCCAGGCACGGUGGCUCACGCCUAUAAUCUCAGCACUCUGGGAGGCCACACAGGCAGACCACCUGAAGUCAGGAGUUCGAGACCAGCCUGGCCAACAUGGUGAAACCCUGUCUUUACUAAAAAUACAAAAAUUAGUUGGGUGUGGUAGCACACUCCUGGAGUCCCAGCUACUCGGAAGGCUGAGGCAGGAGGAUUUCUUGAACCCGGGAGGUGGAAACUGCAGUGAGUCGAGAUCAAGGCACUGCACUCCAGCCUGGGAGACAGAAUGAGACUCUGUCUCAAAAAAAGGAAAAAAAUCCUUUACUAAGUCACCGAAGUCUUAGAAAUUUGGGAAACUGAGGACAAAGUUCCUAAGGGUUCUGGAGAAGAAGGUACAGCCAUUUGGGGAACUAUUUGUCAAGGAGCAACUUCAUGUCUGGGACAAUAGGUAAUUCAGAAAACAGUCCCUAAGAGACACAAUAUCUGAAAUAAUAAAGGGGUGUGGUAUAUCACUCAGGAAGUUACGUGGUAAGCAGCCAGGAUGGUUGAAGGUCCUGAGUAGCUGAAACCAAUAGGGAAGACUUUAUGGAGGAGUUCAGAUUUGAGACAAGCCAGAUUUUAAGCAGGGAAGAAAACAUUCCAAGUAAAGAAAACAGAAUGGUUUCAUGAUUUAAAAGCAAUUUUUUCAUUUUAUUUAUUUUUGAGACAGGGUCUCACUGUGUU
rnacentral:lncRNA from 1 species